GUAGGGGGCAAGCGUUAUCCGGAUUUACUGGGUGUAAAGGGAGCGUAGACGGUUUUGCAAGUCUGAAGUGAAAGCCCGGGGCUUAACCCCGGGACUGCUUUGGAAACUGUAGGACUAGAGUGCAGGAGAGGUAAGUGGAAUUCCUAGUGUAGCGGUGAAAUGCGUAGAUAUUAGGAGGAACACCAGUAGCGAAGGCGGCUUACUGGACGAUGACUGACGUUGAGGCUCGAAAGCGUGGGGAGCAAACAGGAUUAGAUACCCUGGUAGUCCACGCCGUAAACGAUGACUGCUAGGUGUCGGGCAGCAAAGCUAUUCGGUGCCGCAGCUAACGCAAUAAGCAGUCCACCUGGGGAGUACGUUCGCAAGAAUGAAACUCAA
rnacentral:rRNA from 1 species